UACGUAGGGCGCAAGCGUUGUCCGGAAUUAUUGGGCGUAAAGAGCUUGUAGGCGGUUUGUCGCGUCUGCUGUGAAAUUUCGGGGCUCAACCCCGAACUUGCAGUGGGUACGGGCAGGCUAGAGUGUGGUAGGGGAGACUGGAAUUCCUGGUGUAGCGGUGAAAUGCGCAGAUAUCAGGAGGAACACCGAUGGCGAAGGCAGGUCUCUGGGCCACUACUGACGCUGAGAAGCGAAAGCAUGGGGAGCGAACAGG
rnacentral:rRNA from 1 species